UACGUAGGGGGCUAGCGUUGUCCGGAAUCAUUGGGCGUAAAGCGCGUGUAGGCGGCCCGGUAAGUCCGCUGUGAAAGUCGGGGGCUCAACCCUCGGAUGCCGGUGGAUACUGUCGGGCUUGAGUACGGAAGAGGCGAGUGGAAUUCCUGGUGUAGCGGUGAAAUGCGCAGAUAUCAGGAGGAACACCAAUUGCGAAGGCAGCUCGCUGGGACGUAACUGACGCUGGAGACGCGAAAGCGUGGGGAGCAAACAGG
rnacentral:rRNA from 1 species